rnacentral:lncRNA from 1 species
CUGGCACACAAAUGCCUGAAAAUGUUAGUCGUUGAUAUAGAAAAAACAACAAUAACAAUACUAGCUUCCUUUUUAGGGCUUCCCUGGUAGCUCAGUCUGUAAAGAAUCUGUCUGCAGUGCAGGAGACCUGGGUUUGAUCCCUGGUCAGGAAGAUACCGUGGAGAAGGAAAUGGCAAACCACUCCAACUUCCCUAGUGGCUCAGAUGGUAAAGAAUCUACCUGCAAUUCAGGAGACCUGGGUUCAUUUCCUGGGUUGGGAAGAUCCCCUGGAGGAGGGCAUGGCAACCAACUCCAGUAUUCUUGCCUGGAGAAUCCCAUGGACAGAGGAGCCUGGUGGGCUACAGUUCAUGGGAUUGCAAGAGUCAGAUAUGACUUAGCAACUAAACCACCACCACCUCACCACAGCUUCCUUUUUACUUGUCAUGUUUUUAGUCAGAGAUAAUCAGCCCAUGACCUGGGGGUCUUGAUAUGUGAUCUACACAAUGCUAACAUACAGAAGAGGCAGCCACGUUUGGAGGCCCUAUGAUGUCCUGGGUGCCUGUUCUGAGCAGCGUGUUCACGUGUGCUGUCUCAUCGUUCUUCUCAACUGCAGGGAGGCUUGGAGGUGAAGAGAUAUGCAGCCGUGUCACAUGGUGUCAUAAGUGGUGGAAUGAGAUGACCCCAAAGCCCUGCUCUGAUUACCAGAUUCCCUUUGCCCCAGCACCAAAGCAGAGGAGACCCAGAAGGAUAAGCCAGAGCAUUGGAGAGCUGGGUUCCCACCCCAACAGUAAGGGUCACCACUGGGCCCCCAGGGGGCUCUCUGGGGCAGACCUCCGCUCCAGGCCACUCGGACACCUUGUCGCCCAAGCCUGCAGGGCUCGCUGCAGCUCCCGGCCUUUGUCCAGCUGGGUUCCCUGGGUCGCAAGGUAUGAGCCACAGAUGUGGGGUGGAGUUUUGAUGCUGUCUUGGGGAGCCUUGGGGAAAUCACUGCCCCUCAGAACCUCGGUUUCCUCCUCUGAAAAAAGAGGGCUUUGCAAUGUAUGGGCUUGA